AUUGAACGCUGGCGGCAGGCCUAACACAUGCAAGUCGAGCGGAUGAGUGGAGCUUGCUCCAUGAUUCAGCGGCGGACGGGUGAGUAAUGCCUAGGAAUCUGCCUGGUAGUGGGGGACAACGUUUCGAAAGGAACGCUAAUACCGCAUACGUCCUACGGGAGAAAGUGGGGGAUCUUCGGACCUCACGCUAUCAGAUGAGCCUAGGUCGGAUUAGCUAGUUGGUGAGGUAAAGGCUCACCAAGGCGACGAUCCGUAACUGGUCUGAGAGGAUGAUCAGUCACACUGGAACUGAGACACGGUCCAGACUCCUACGGGAGGCAGCAGUGGGGAAUAUUGGACAAUGGGCGAAAGCCUGAUCCAGCCAUGGCGCGUGUGUGAAGAAGGUCUUCGGAUUGUAAAGCACUUUAAGUUGGGAGGAAGGGCUGUAAGUUAAUACCUUGCUGUUUUGACGUUACCAACAGAAUAAGCACCGGCUAACUUCGUGCCAGCAGCCGCGGUAACAC
rnacentral:rRNA from 1 species